rnacentral:rRNA from 1 species
GAUGAACGCUGGCGGCGUGCCUAAUACAUGCAAGUCGAGCGAACGGACGAGAAGCUUGCUUCUCUGAUGUUAGCGGCGGACGGGUGAGUAACACGUGGAUAACCUACCUAUAAGACUGGGAUAGCUUCGGGAAACCGGAGCUAAUACCGGAUAAUAUUUUGAACCGCAUGGUUCAAAAGUGAAAGACGGUCUUGCUGUCACUUAUAGAUGGAUCCGCGCUGCAUUAGCUAGUUGGUAAGGUAUCGGCUUACCAAGGCAACGAUGCAUAGCCGACCUGAGAGGGUGAUCGGCCACACUGGAACUGAGACACGGUCCAGACUCCUACGGGAGGCAGCAGUAGGGAAUCUUCCGCAAUGGGCGAAAGCCUGACGGAGCAACGCCGCGUGAGUGAUGAAGGUCUUCGGAUCGUAAAACUCUGUUAUUAGGGAAGAACAUAUGUGUAAGUAACUGUGCACAUCUUGACGGUACCUAAUCAGAAAGCCACGGCUAACUACGUG